rfam:Jatropha curcas cultivar GZQX0401 scaffold657_53, whole genome shotgun sequence.
AAGCCAUGUUGCAGGCAUUUUCGUUGGAGAUCUUUGAAUCUUUCCUAGGGUUCGUAUAAAGUUUCGUCUUCCUUCAUCCGAAAAUUGGAUAUUUCCUUCCUUAGCCU